AGGGCCGGCGUCUCUCGGCCACGAUCGUGUUUCGCUCAUAAGCGUUACCGCGAGAGAAGCCUAUGCACUAACGGGUCAUGUCGGCACUUAUCCCGGACCGUCCUGCGUGUAGCUCACCCGUCUGCCGCACAGCGUAUGUCCGGGCAUGCCCCCUAGCCGGGGUAGGUUUAAUGAGCUCCGGCACGGGAGCCACCGACCCACUCUACUCUGUCAACCAGAGGCCGCGAGGCCACCAAAAGUACUAUUCUAAGCGGUGGAUCACUCGGCUCGCAGGUCGAUGAAGAACGCAGCCAACUGCGGUAAUUAAUGCGAAUUGCAGACACAUUGAGCAUCGACAUUUCGAACGCACAUUGCGGCACCAGGUUCACUCCUGGUGCCACGUCUGUCUGAGGGUCGCGAUUCCGACAGCAUCUCGUACCCGAACGAUACGGGUCGUGCCAGAGGAGCGGUUGCCUUCCGUGCGGCGGCUCCUGUCGAUUUCGGAAAGGCAGCUCUUCGGAGGUUAGACGGCCGACGGAACCUUGUUCGGCGAAAGCGUCCCGGAAGGGCGCCAAGGCGUAAAAGGAUAGUUCGCUUGGGCGUCCGGAAGGGCUCGUUGGUCCGACCUCAGAUCAGACGUGACUACCCGCUGAACUUAAGCAUAUCACUAGGCGGAGGAAAG
rnacentral:misc_RNA from 1 species